UACGAACCGUACAAACGUUAUUCGGAAUCACUGGGCUUAAAGGGUGCGUAGGCGGCCAUGUAAGUGAGGUGUGAAAUCCCUCGGCUCAACCGAGGAACUGCGCUUCAUACUGCAUGGCUUGAGGGAGACAGGGGUCAGCGGAACUGAUGGUGGAGCGGUGAAAUGCGUUGAUAUCAUCAGGAACGCCGGUGGCGAAAGCGGCUGACUGGGUCUCUUCUGACGCUGAGGUACGAAAGCUAGGGUAGCGAACGGG
rnacentral:rRNA from 1 species